GACAGAGGCCCCGAGCGUUAAUCGGAAUUACUGGGCGUAAAGCGUGCGCAGGCGGCUAUGCAAGACAGAUGUGAAAUCCCCGGGCUCAACCUGGGAACUGCAUUUGUGACUGCAUGGCUAGAGUACGGCAGAGGGGGAUGGAAUUCCGCGUGUAGCAGUGAAAUGCGUAGAUAUGCGGAGGAACACCGAUGGCGAAGGCAAUCCCCUGGGCCUGUACUGACGCUCAUGCACGAAAGCGUGGGGAGCAAACAGG
rnacentral:rRNA from 1 species